GAUGAACGCUGGCGGCGUGCCUAAUACAUGCAAGUCGAGCGAACAGACGAGGAGCUUGCUCCUUUGACGUUAGCGGCGGACGGGUGAGUAACACGUGGGUAACCUACCUAUAAGACUGGGAUAACUUCGGGAAACCGGAGCCAAUACCGGAUAAUAUUUCGAACCGCAUGGUUCGAUAGUGAAAGAUGGCUUUGCUAUCACUUAUAGAUGGACCUGCGCCGUAUUAGCUAGUUGGUAAGGUAACGGCUUACCAAGGCAACGAUACGUAGCCGACCUGAGAGGGUGAUCGGCCACACUGGAACUGAGACACGGUCCAGACUCCUACGGGAGGCAGCAGUAGGGAAUCUUCCGCAAUGGGCGAAAGCCUGACGGAGCAACGCCGCGUGAGUGAUGAAGGUCUUCGGAUCGUAAAACUCUGUUAUUAGGGAAGAAUAAACGUGUAAGUAACUGUGCACGUCUUGACGGUACCUAAUCAGAAAGCCACGGCUAACUACGUG
rnacentral:rRNA from 1 species